CAGCAGCCGCGGUAAUACGUAGGGUGCAAGCGUUAAUCGGAAUUACUGGGCGUAAAGCGUGCGCAGGCGGUUAUAUAAGUCAGAUGUGAAAUCCCCGGGCUCAACCUGGGAACUGCAUUUGAGACUGUAUGGCUAGAGUGUGUCAGAGGGGGGUAGAAUUCCACGUGUAGCAGUGAAAUGCGUAGAUAUGUGGAGGAAUACCGAUGGCGAAGGCAGCCCCCUGGGAUAACACUGACACUCAUGCACGAAAGCGUGGGGAGCAAACAGGAUUAGAUACCCCGGUAGUCCCUGUCUCUUAUAC
rnacentral:rRNA from 1 species